rnacentral:rRNA from 1 species
UACGUAGGGUGCAAGCGUUGUCCGGAAUUAUUGGGCGUAAAGAGCUCGUAGGCGGCUUGUCGCGUCGUUCGUGAAAACCCACAGCUCAACUGUGGGCUUGCGGUCGAUACAGGCAGGCUGGAGUUCGGUAGGGGAGACUGGGAAUUCCUGGUGUAGCGGUGAAAUGCGCAGAUAUCAGGAGGAACACCGGUGGCGAAGGCGGGUCUCUGGGCCGAUACUGACGCUGAGGAGCGAAAGCGUGGGGAGCGAACAGG